rnacentral:lncRNA from 1 species
UCGAUUUUGGUUGAUGGUGGCUUGUUUAAGCUCUUUGUUGGGUGCAGAAUUCUCUCAGGUGGUCCUACAACACUGGUAGCAUCUUAGGAAGUAGAUUGGAGCAAGGAAAGAUCAGCUUGGGAGUUGCUUUCUGGUGCAGCAGAAUCACGCUCUUCACUGGUCAGCACAAUUUCUGGGUGUUGUAACAGUAGUGUAUCCACUUAGCAGCUGUGAGAUUUGACGUGGACUAUCAUAGUUCAAUCCUUUUAGAAAAGCUAAAGUUGCCUACCCCAUUCUUUUACUGUUUUACUUCUGAACUUUGCCAACCAAAGUCUGUCUAGGUUGUAUUACCAUNAAUUUUACCAGUUUUUGAGAGUAAAACAGUUGAGAAAGUAGGAACUGGACUAGCUAAAUUCUGAGUGGAAAGCCAAACAGCUGAGUGGAUAUCAGUUUGAGUGUUUACAACCCAAGAGAAAUUUGCUAAUUAGUUGCAAACAUCCAUUCUGAGAGAAAAGUGAUUUACCAUAUACACUUGGAUUGUACAAUAGGGAGUCUCAGUUCUGUUCAAUGAUUUUGUUUACAAAUUCAAUUCUGGUUUUGGGUAUGUAGUUUCUUUUUGUGCAGACUUGACGAUGGAUGAUGUUCUAUGGCUAUUUGUAAUAGCUUGAAAGGUGGAAAGAAAAAGGAAUUUUACAGCAUCAAGGGCACAAGGUUGAGAAGAAAUCUUUCUUCACAAGCAAUCAGUAUCUCCAUAUCUUCAAGAAACUCAAGGAACCACGCUGCUAGGAACACAUGCAUCUUGUCUGCAUCAGAAAAGUUGGAGAAACCGUGACAGCAACACUUGAGUUUGUUUUUGUUUAUUUUUUAAAAGUUUUUUUUUCUUAUGUAGUUCUUUUAUUUGUAAAAGGCCAUUGAAAGUCCAAGUGGUGUGGGAGAGUCCUUGGUGUUCUUUCAACUCUUGGCAAAACUUUUCUUGUUUGUUUCUUUAAUUUUAGCAUAGCUUAGACUGGUGAGUGUGUCUUGUUAGCAUAAGCUACAAGCCUCACCUUCACCUUAGGAGUAAAAUUUUAUCUUGUUUGUAUGUGAUUUUGUAUUUCGCUUAGGGGCG